rnacentral:piRNA from 1 species
UGGCAAUGUAAGUGCCCAUACCAGCCA